rnacentral:rRNA from 1 species
CAGCCGCCGCGGUAAUACGUAGAUCCCGAGCGUUGUCCGGAUUUAUUGGGCGUAAAGGGAGCGCAGGCGGUUUAGUAAGUCUGAAGUUAAAGGCAUUGGCUCAACCAAUGUAUGCUUUGGAAACUGUUAGACUUGAGUGCAGAAGGGGAGAGUGGAAUUCCAUGUGUAGCGGUGAAAUGCGUAGAUAUAUGGAGGAACACCGGUGGCGAAAGCGGCUCUCUGGUCUGUCACUGACGCUGAGGCUCGAAAGCGUGGGUAGCGAACAGGAUUAGAUACCCCCGUAGUCCCUGUCUCUUAUACA